rnacentral:misc_RNA from 1 species
AAAGAAAACCGCCUGCUGGUGCCGCGCGUCGUUUACGGGUAUUUCCCCUGCCAAUCGGCGAGUAACGAUCUAAUCAUCUACCACGAUGACGAAAAAACUGAGCGACUGCGGUUUACUUUUCCUCGUCAGCCGACGGGCAAGCAUCUAUGCCUCGCGGAUUUCUUCGCCCCGGAAGACUCAGGCAGAAUCGAUGUUGUAGCCUUCCAUCUCGUUACAGUAGGACGUCGCGCAAGCGAGUAUUCGCAAGAACUAUUUAAAGCGGACAACUACGCUGACUACCUCUAUUUUCAUGGUCUAAGUGUGGAAAGCGCCGAAGCACUUGCGGAGCUAUGGCAUAAGCAAAUUCGCGAAGAGCUGGAAAUUGCCGCCCAGGAUGCGCCAGACGUAACUAAGCUUUUUC